rnacentral:rRNA from 1 species
UACAGAGGUCUCAAGCGUUGUUCGGAUUCAUUGGGCGUAAAGGGUGUGUAGGUGGCGCCGUAAGUCGGGUGUGAAAUUUCGGAGCUUAACUCCGAAACUGCGUUCGAUACUGCCGUGCUUGAGGACUGGAGAGGAGACUGGAAUUUACGGUGUAGCGGUGAAAUGCGUAGAUAUCGUAAGGAAGACCAGUGGCGAAGGCGGGUCUCUGGACAGUUCCUGACGCUGAGGCACGAAGGUCAGGGGAGCAAACGGG